CCUACGGGAGACAGCAGUGAGGAAUCUUGGUCAAUGGCCGGAAGGCUGAACCAGCCAAGCCGCGUGAGGGAGGAAGGCGCAGAGCGUCGCAGACCUCUUUUGCCGGGGGACAAAAGGGCGGACUCGUCCGGUCCUGAGGGUACCCGGAGAAAAAGCAUCGGCAAACACCGUGCCAGCAGCCGCGGUAAUACGGGGGAUGCGAGCGUGUUCCGGAUUCAUGGGGUUUAAAGGGGGCGCAGGCGGGCCUUUAAGCCGGCGGUGAAAUCGCGGGGCUCAACCCCGCCGAGCCGUCGGAACUGGGGGCCUUGAGUGCGGAGGAGGCAAGCGGAACGCGAGGUGUAGCGGUGGAAUGCAUAGAUAUCGGGCAGAACCCCAGUUGCGAAGGCAGCGUGCCGUGCCGCCACUGACGCUGAGGCACGAAAGCACGGGGAUCGAACAGGAUUAGAUACCCGAGUAGUC
rnacentral:rRNA from 1 species